GUUCGAUAUGCAGAUCUUGCUCAACUGUAGGGAGAAUACAGAACAGUUCUCUCUUGUGUCUGUAUCUUUUGUGGGUAAUGUUAAGUAAAGCUGUCAGAACUAACAGAACCUGCGAACCCACAUAGAUCAGAUGUAUAUCCAUCUGUUCACAUUUGAAAACAGAUUAUUUAUGUUCAUGCAUAGCUCCUUGCAUGUUCUUUGUUGGGGGCUAAUUUAUUUUGCUUGAUGUUCAUCUGUGACAGAUGAGAGUAGCUGUUGACAGGGCUGGAGAAGUUGAAGAGACCACAAGAAUGUGGCUUUCCAUGAUGGCAAGAGACUGCAGCCGUUUCUGUAUAAUUAUGAGAUCGUCUGUCAACAAAGCUGCUACUGCUCCAACAUCUAGUUAUGUUGAUUCACAAGGACAGGAAGAAAAUAUUCUUUGCAGAUGAAGUUGGUGGGCCUCUAUGUCAUGUCAAGGUUUUUGAAGAUCAACUGGCUUCUCUCUGUGGCUCUGAAUGUGACACUGAGAAAUUCUUAGGCAACUAAAACUGAAAGAAUUACUUCUUGUACAAUACCAUUGUUGAUAUUUAAAAUGCCAAUUUCAUGGUCAAACAGCCCCGAAGAUCAUUUCUGUCAUUACAACAAGCCUAAGAGCUCUAAGCUUCUUUUAAGGUCUUGUUGCUUCUCAUAAGCAUCUUUUCCUACAGUAGGAUAUUUCAUUGAUUUUAUUUAUUUUGAUGAGCUUGUUAUGUAAUAUUUGAAGCUGCUUGAUAAAGUACUUUGGCCUGCAGCUUAUGGAAGAACUAGAAUAUGUUUUCUGUCUUGAUUCUCAAGUAUAUUGACAAAAGGACAAAAUGGUUUAUGCA